AAUCAACGCUGGCGGCGUGCCUAACACAUGCAAGUCGAACGAGAAAGUGGAGCAAUCCAUGAGUAAAGUGGCGUACGGGUGAGUAACACGUGACUAACCUACCCUUGAGUUCGGAAUAACUUCGGGAAACCGAGGCUAAUACCGGAUAAUACCUACGGGUCAAAGGAGCAAUUCGCUUAAGGAGGGGGUCGCGGCUGAUUAGCUAGUUGGUGAGGUAAUGGCUCACCAAGGCGAUGAUCAGUAUCCGGCCUGAGAGGGCGCACGGACACACUGGAACUGAAACACGGUCCAGACUCCUACGGGAGGCAGCAGUGGGGAAUUUUGC
rnacentral:rRNA from 1 species